CAAGGAAUUUUGCGCAAUGGGCGAAAGCCUGACGCAGCAACGCCGCGUGGGGGAAGAAGACCCUCGGGUUGUAAACCCCUUUUGUUAGGGAAGAAGAUCUGACGGUACCUAACGAAUAAGCCUCGGCUAACUACGUGCCAGCAGCCGCGGUAAUACGUGGGAGGCGAGCGUUGUCCGGAUUUAUUGGGCGUAAAGAGCGCGUAGGCGGUCUGCUAAGUUAGGUGUGAAAUCUCCCGGCUCAACUGGGAGGCUGCAUUUAAUACUAGCGGGCUAGAGGUGAGUAGAGGAAAGCGGAAUUCCCGGUGUAGUGGUGAUAUGCGUAGAUAUCGGGAGGAACUCCAGUGGCGAAGGCGGCUUUCUGGGCUCCACCUGACGCUGAGGCGCGAAAGCGUGGGGAGCGAACCGG
rnacentral:rRNA from 1 species